ACACUCCUGCGGGAGGCAGCAGUGGGGAAUUUUGGACAAUGGGCGAAAGCCUGAUCCAGCAAUGCCGCGUGAGUGAAGAAGGCCUUCGGGUUGUAAAGCUCUUUUGUCAGGGAAGAAACGGUGAGAGCUAAUAUCUCUUGCUAAUGACGGUACCUGAAGAAUAAGCACCGGCUAACUACGUGCCAGCAGCCGCGGUAAUACGUAGGGUGCAAGCGUUAAUCGGAAUUACUGGGCGUAAAGCGUGCGCAGGCGGUUUUGUAAGUCUGAUGUGAAAUCCCCGGGCUCAACCUGGGAAUUGCAUUGGAGACUGCAAGGCUAGAAUCUGGCAGAGGGGGGUAGAAUUCCACGUGUAGCAGUGAAAUGCGUAGAUAUGUGGAGGAACACCGAUGGCGAAGGCAGCCCCCUGGGUCAAGAUUGACGCUCAUGCACGAAAGCGUGGGGAGCAAACAGGAUUAGAAACCCGUGUAGUCCC
rnacentral:rRNA from 1 species